rnacentral:rRNA from 1 species
AUUGAACGCUGGCGGCAGGCUUAACACAUGCAAGUCGAGCGAGCGGCGGACGGGUGAGUAAUGUCUGGGAAACUGCCUGAUGGAGGGGGAUAACUACUGGAAACGGUAGCUAAUACCGCAUACCAUCAGAUUUGCCCAGAUGGGAUUUGCUAGUAGGGGGGGUAAAGGCCUACCAAGGCGGCGAUCGCUAACUGGUCUGAGAGGAUGAUCAGUCACACUAGAGCGGAGAAACGGGCCAGAAUCCUACGUGAGGCAGCGUUGGGGAAUCUUGGACAAUGGGCGAAAGCCUGACCCAGCCAUGCCGCGUGUGUGAAGAAGGUCUUCGGAUUGUAAAGCACGUUAAGUUGGGAGGCGUUACCAACAGAAUAAGCACCGGCUAACUUCGUGCCAGCAGCCGCGGUAAUAC